rnacentral:lncRNA from 12 species
CUAGACCUGUGGGGCUCACAAACACAAUCCACCCUGGCCCCAGAGUCUCAUAUUCAGUAGGCAUCCCCUGUGUGGGUUGCAUGUACCUGCUGGCUUGGAGGCCUCUGGCAGUGGGAGUGUAACUAGAGGUCAGGGCACUGGCCUCCUGCUUCUGGCAGGGCCGUGGCAGCAGUAUGGAGGGGGAAGGAGGUACUAGAAGGUUAUGGGAAUGCAAAAAUAGCUCCUGCCAGCAUUGGCAGUAGCAAGGUAGAGAAAGCGUAAAUAUGGCACCCUCCGGUAUCUUUUGUCUUUGGAGGGAAUCUGAGUGGGCUUUUGCCCUUCUGGUAGAUGCUUUAAGAUUAGCAAAUGGAACCCCUUCACAUCUGGUCUAGGCUCCUUUCAAACUGGUGCUUUUGUACUGGGUCCUGAGGCAAAUGAGUCUGAUUGUGAGCCCUGUAAAAGCAGAGCCUGCACUCAGUACAGCCCUAGGAGUCUCCUGGACGGAAGCUCCACUGGUUUCCAAAGCCAGGUGCUUUGGGGGCUGUCUGUCUGGUGCAUCUCCCAUGGGUCAUGGUGCCUGAUGUGUAGUACAGAUUCCCUCCCUCAGGGAGGGGUUCUGUAUUUGUGCAACCCCUCCUCCAUAGGUCGUUGCAUGGGGGGAGGUGAGGUUUUCGGCAAAAAUACAACUACAUCUGUCUCUCCUCCCUGUCUGUUUAAUUCUUCGUUGUGGAGUAGCUGUCCUGCUCAGAGAUAAUUGUUUUAUAUGUAGCUGUAGAUAUAUUGUGUCUGUUGAGGGAAAGGAUUUCAGAAGUUUUUAUGUGACUAUCUUGAAUGAUCUCCCUGUUUGCCUGUGUUCUUUUUUUUUUUUUUUAGAUUUUAUUUAUUUAGUCGUGAGAGAGGCAGACACACAGGCAGAGGGAGAAGCAGGCUCCAAGCAGGGAGCCCAACAAGGGACUUGAUCCCAGGACCUCGACCCAGGCCACCUGCGUCUUCUUGAAUGGCAUUUUUAGUAAGCAAAGAAUGCUAGUAGUGCUAAGUUGCCAGUGGAAACUGCCCAUGGGCCACAUGAGAGACCACGGAUCCUGUAAUGCUGGGAGGCAUAAAGCUGGCACAGAAGUGCUGCAGAGAGGCUGUCACCAGUUAGAGGGAAGGAGCCAGAGAAGCAAGAGGUGUGGCAACAGCCAAGGGUGUUCAAAGGUAGAUGGACUGUGCACUCCCUUCCUGAAUGGGAGACCAGCACAGAGACCUUGGGGGCACGCCCUGCCCAGCCCUGCCCAGCCUCGCCCAGGCUCCAGCCGGAGGCUCCGCCCCAGGCCAUGGCCUUCCACUUGCUCACGUGACCAUGCCACAGGCAUGCAGAGAGGCAGGCUGAGCUCUGCCAGGCCAGCAGGGUCCGUGCCAGGCCUGG